rnacentral:lncRNA from 1 species
CCUAAUUAAUAUUCCAAAGUAAUUUCAUACUAAAAACUUCUAGAAUGCAAGUUUUGCAAAUUAUUCAAUUUAGUCCCUAACCUCAACUUAAGCACUUUAUGCAUGGAAUUUCAUCACGAAAUUUUCACACAAUCAUGCAAUCAUACCAUGAACCUUAAAAUAAUAAUAAAAUAAAUUUUUCUACCUCGGAUUUGUGGUUUCGCAACCACUAUUCCGUUUAGGCCCUAUUUUGGGAUGUUACAUUUCUCCCCCCUUUUAGGGAUUUUUGUCCCGAAAAUCUUACCUGUGAAGAGAUUUGGGUACUGUUUUCGCAUAGCCUCU